rnacentral:rRNA from 1 species
UACGUAGGGUGCAAGCGUUGUCCGGAAUUAUUGGGCGUAAAGCGCUCGUAGGCGGUUUGUUGCGUCGGCUGUGAAAUCCCGAGGCUCAACCUCGGGUCUGCAGUCGAUACGAGCAAACUAGAGUGUUGCAGGGGAGACUGGAAUUCCUGGUGUAGCGGUGAAAUGCGCAGAUAUCAGGAGGAACACCGGUGGCGAAGGCGGGUCGCUGGGCAACAACUGACGCUGAGGAGCGAAAGCGUGGGGAGCGAACAGG